CGCCGUGGAUUAGUGGCGAACGGGUGAGUAACACGUGGGUGAUCUGCCCCGUACUCUGGGAUAAGCCCUUGUUUGGGUCUAAUACCGGAUAUGACUUUUCCUCGCAUGGGGAUUGGUGGAAAGAUUUUUGGUACGGGAUGGGCCCGCGGCCUAUCAGCUUGUUGGUGGGGUAAUGGCCUACCAAGGCGGUGACGGGUAGCCGACCUGAGAGGGUGAUCGGCCACACUGGGACUGAGACACGGCCCAG
rnacentral:rRNA from 1 species